AGGAUGAAUGCUGGCGGCGCGCCUAACACAUGCAAGUCGAGCGGAAAGGCCCUUCGGGGUACUCGGGCGGCGGACGGCUGAGUAACGCGUGGGAACAUGCCCCAAAGUGAGGAAUAACUGCCCGAAAGGGUAGCUAAUGCCGCAUAUGAUCUUAGGAUUAAAGGAUUUAUCCGCUUUGGGAGUGGCCCGCGUACGAUUAGGUAGUUGGUGAGGUAAAGGCUCACCAAGCCCACGAUCGUUAACUGGUCUGAGAGGAUGAUCAGUCAGACUGGAACUGAGACACGGUCCAGACUCCUACGGGAGGCAGCAGUGAGGAAUCUUCCACAAUGGGCGAAA
rnacentral:rRNA from 1 species